rnacentral:lncRNA from 1 species
GGCAGAGAAACUGAGAGAAAGAAUCAUGGAGAGAGAGAGGCAGAGAAACUAAGAGACAGAAACACAGAGUGAGAGAGGCAGAGAAACUGAGAGAGAAACGGGGAGAGUGAGAGGCAGAGAAACUGAGAGACAGAAACACAGAGUGAGAGAGGCAGAGAAACAGAGAGAAACGGGGAGAGUGAGAGGCAGAGAAACUGAGAGACAGAAACAGAGAAAGGCAGAGAAACUGAGAGACAGAAACAAAGUGAGAGAGAGGCAGAGAAACUGAGAUAGAGAAACAUGGAGAGAGAGAGAGGCAGAGAAACUGAGAGAUAGAAACAUGGAGAGAGAGACAGAGAAACUGAGAGACAGAAACAUGGAGAGAGAGAGAGGCAGAGAAACUGAGACAGAAACAUGGAGAGAGAGAGAGGCAGAGAAACUGAGAGACAGAAACAUGGAGUCAGAGAGGCAGAGAAACUGAGAGACAGAACCAGGGAAAGAGAGAGGUAUAGAAACUGAGAGACAGAAACAGGGAGAGAGAGAGGCAGAGAAACUGAGAGAGAAACAGGGAGAGAGAGAGGUUGAGAAACUGAGAGACAGAAACAUGUAGAGAGGCAGAGAAACUGAGAGACCGAAACAGGGAGAGAGAGAGAGAGAGGCAGAGAAACUAAUAGACAGAAACAGGGAGAUUUAGAGGCAGAGACAUUGAGACAUAAACAUGGAGAGAGCGAGGCAGAGAAACUGAAAGACAGAAACAUGUAUAGAGAGAGGCAGAGAAACUGAGUGAGAAACUGGGAGAGAGAGGGGAAGAGAUACUGAGAGAGAAUCAGGGAGAGAGAGAGGCAUAGAAACUGAGAGACCGAAAAACAGAGAGAGAGAGAGAGGCAGAGAAGCUAAUAGACAGAAAC